rnacentral:rRNA from 1 species
AUUGAACGCUGGCGGCAGGCCUAACACAUGCAAGUCGAGCGAGGGGCGGACGGGUGAGUAAUGUAUGGAGAUCUGCCAGAUAGAGGGGGAUCACUACUGGAAACGGUGGAUAAUACCGCAUACUAUCGGCUGAACCCAUAGGUGAGUAGCUUGUAGGUGGGGUAAAGGCUCACCGGGGCGACGAUCUCUAGCUGGUCUGCGAGGAUGAACAGCCACACUGGAACUGAGACACGGCCCAGACUCCUACGGGAGGCAGCAGUGGGGAAUAUGGCACAAUGGGCGCAAGCCUGAUGCAGCCAUGCCGCGUGUAUGAAGAAGGCCUUAGGGUUGUAAAGUACUUUCAGCGGGGAGGCGUUACCCGCAGAAGAAGCACCGGCUAACUCCGUGCCAGCAGCCGCGGUAAUUC